rnacentral:rRNA from 1 species
GGGUUCGACUAACUACCGCAUACUCCGUACGGAAGGAAGGGGGGGAUCUUCGGACCUCUCGCUAAUAGAUGAGCCUAGGCCGGAUUAGCUAGUUGGUAGGGUAAAGGCCUACCAAGGCGACGAUCUGUAGCUGGUCUGAGAGGAUGGCCAGCCACACUGGAACUGAGACACGGUCCAGACUCCUACGGGGAGGCAGCAGGUGGGGAAUAUUGGACAAUGGGGGCAACCCUGAUCCAGCCAUGCCGCGUGUGUGAAGAAGGCCUUCGGGUUGUAAAGCACUUUAAGCGAGGAGGAAGGUUUUAGUUUAAUACACUAAAGAAUUGACGUUACUCGCAGAAUAAGCACCGGCUAACUCUGUGCCAGCAGCCGCGGUAAUACAGAGGGUGCAAGCGUUAAUCGGAAUUACUGGGC